AUGGCUUGUUCUGAUGGUGAGGCUGAGCACCAAUGGAUACAGAAUGUCAAGUCAGGAGGAGCAGUUCCUUGUCUACCGCCCGAAAACUGUCCUAAUGGUUGGGCUACUCCUCCUGGUGACACUUUUAUGGUCAGAGGCCCAGAAUAUUUUGCAACCAAGGCAAAAAUACCUGGUGGGGAGUAUCUUCUGAAGCCUCUUGGAGUUGAUUGGAUCAAAGGCCCAGUAAAAAUCUGUGAGGUCCUGAAAAACAGGAACCAUCGUGUGAGGAAAGCCAUCGAUGAGGAGGUUUCUCACGGCAAUAAACCUUUUGUCUGGGCCUUCAACUUGCAACUUCCCAGCAAGGAGAACUACAGCGCGAUAUUUUACUUUGUCUCACUGGAACCUGCACCCGAGGGCUCGCUGAUGGAUCAAUUCCUUAAAGGGGAUGAUGCUCUCCGUAAAUCCAGGCUUAAACUGAUAGCAAACAUAGUUAAGGGUCCCUGGAUUGUCCGAAAAGCUGUGGGUGAACAAGCCAUCUGCAUACUUGGCAGAGCACUUUCGUGCAAGUAUGUCGAGGGAUCAAACUUCAUCGAAGUUGAUGUGGAUAUUGGGUCUUCCAUAGUUGCAAAUGCAAUUGUUCAUCUGGCAUUUGGUUACGUGGCGACACUGACUAUAGAUUUAGCAUUUGUUAUUGAGAGUCAAGCUGAAUCAGAGCUCCCCGAGAGACUUCUUGGAGCUGUAAGGUUCUCUGAGUUGAGUCCGGGAUCAGCUGGUGUGUAUGAAGUGCCAUCUGAAGAGCAGCAGGAAAUUGCUCCAAUUCUGCCUUCAAGAUUAUGGCGGAGUUUUUCCCAACUGCUACAGAACCCAGGCAACUCAAUGCAGCCGUCGCCUAGCUCAGAAAACACUAACGGAAACUUUCACAAAGAAGAUGCUGGUAACAGCGAUAAUUGA
rnacentral:rRNA from 1 species